UGGGGAAUCAUGGUCAAUGGGCGAAAGCCUGAACCUGCGACGCCGCGUGAGUGAUGAAGGUCGUAAGAUCGUAAAACUCUUUUCAGGGAUCUUAAAGCCUGUCUGUCAACAACAGGCAGAUCUGACUCUCCCUGGAAGAAGCCCCAGCCAACUACGUGCCAGCAGCUGCGGUAAUACGUAGGGGGCGAGCGUUAUUCGGACUUACUGGGUGUAAAGGGUAUGUAGGCGGCCCUUCAAGUCGCGUGUCAAAGUCCAGGGCUCAACGCUGGGUG
rnacentral:rRNA from 1 species